rnacentral:rRNA from 1 species
GAUGAACGCUAGCUACAGGCUUAACACAUGCAAGUCGAGGGGCAGCACGGAGAUAGCUUGCUAUCUUGGGUGGCGACCGGCGCACGGGUGAGUAACGCGUAUCCAACCUGCCCAUUACUCUGGGAUAGCCUUGCGAAAGUAAGAUUAAUACCGGAUGUUGUUAAAAACCCGCAUGAGUUUUUAACCAAAGAUUUAUUGGUAAUGGAUGGGGAUGCGUGACAUUAGGUAGUUGGUGAGGUAACGGCUCACCAAGCCUACGAUGUCUAGGGGUUCUGAGAGGAAGGUACCCCACACUGGAACUGGGACACGGUCCAGACUCCUACGGGAGGCAGCAGUGAGGAAAAUUGGUCAAUGGACGAGAGUCUGAACCAGCCAAGUAGCGGGCAGGACGACGGCCCUCUGGGUUGUAAACUGCUUUUAGUUGGGAAUAAAAAGAGGGACGUGUCCCUAAUUGUAUGUACCAUCAGAAAAAGGACCGGCUAAUUCCGUGCCAGCCGCCGCCGUAACAC